AAGAUUGCAUUUAUAAAAAUUUAUUAUUCUAAGAAACCAACCCCUAUUUGAAAGGAGUACCGCGUAGAGGUUACUGCAGUUAAACGAGUAUAGGAGGCACUAAACGAAAUUUUAACUAACUGUAAAUCAUCAGUAGUUCAUUUUUUCGGAAGACGCUCCCUCCAAUUGGCACGGCC